CUAGUGUUGGGCUAUACCAAAUAUUUUUUUGUGCUUAGUGUAUAUACUUGUGCGCCUUGGUCUUCUUACAACUUGAGCUUCUGCUUCUCUCCUUGUUAUUUCUCUUUUUGCUAAAAUGGCUUCUGCAACUCCAGGAUAUGAAAAACGUACGCGCAGUAAGAAAGAGCCGGUAUAUCUAAUCUACUGUAAUAAAGAGACUCCUUUGUCGGGUUGAUUAAAGUAAUGUCUGACCUUACAAAAAACUUUCUGGAAGGUGAAAUGGGGGCGCCAAAGGAUACAUAAAGAACCGCAUCAAUUAUAGCGGCAGGUGCUUUAGACGUACGUACCUACUCUCCAUUAAAAGUAUUCUGAUACUAAAGGUUAAUUAGCUAGUUAUUUCCUCUCCUUCAUGAUGUUCAUAAUAUAUCCCUCAUUUUUCCAUGCCAGUCAUUUUCGUACUUUAACUCGAAUUUCCUUUGCUAGUCUCUCAUCCUAUACCUAAAGUUCAUGUGCAUUCAUUCAGUUAAUAUAUUUCUCUUUAAGCAGAAAUUUCCGGAAUUUUUAUCCAAUAUUAGUUGAUUAUUUUUUUAAUCGGAAAUUAUAGACGAAUAAAGAAUUGAGAUUAAUAUUUUGAAAAACAUGUCGUUGGACUAGCUAGCUAGCUAGAUUCAGAAUGGAUAUUUAGUCAUAUACAAAGCUCUGCCAGGUAUGUUAUGCAAAUUCAGAUGCACGAACUAUUAAUCCUCAAACUCAUUAAUUAUCCACCUUAAUUACAGUAUAUAUACUUAAAACUUUAUGUUCAAACAAUAAUCCCAAAACAGUCCAAUAACUUUGGUAGUAGUUUCACCAGAAAUGCCUGACAGGAAUAUAGAGGUACAAAUCAAGCGCCAAUUCUUAUACGACAGGAAUGACCAUUUGACAGAAAGGUUUAUCCAACAAUAUGAUAAAGAUUAAUAGAUGCUCCCCACUGCUUUACAAGUCUCAGAAACUGAUCAAGUAACUGAUGAACAUGGGAAAAUAUCUUUAUGUUUUAGGAUGUUUAGGUUAUGUUUAAUUAUAGCAUCACUUCAGAAUUUAUGUCUAGUUAAAUUUUGAUAGAGUGCAUGCAGUAAACAAAUAAACACAAUUAUUUUUUGCAAACUGAUUGUUAACUUUAUAGCUAGCAGCACACAAAUAUUAGACCGACUCAUUUUUGCAAAUUAUUCGAUAUACUGACAGAAAAAAACACCAUAUAUAUGCUAUACUAUUCAAAUUAACAACCAGCUAUUCUUAUUCAUCAUCUCAUUACCUAUAACUUGUGAUAUAAUUUAUUUUAACAUCCCUGUAUUCUUUUAAGUACUGGUAUCAUCUUCAGGUGAUGAUGCAGACAUAUGCAUCAUGGCAAAUACACUAUUGCCGAGGAUUGUUAAAUUGAAAUUUUAUUAUAGUUAACAUCUGAUAAUUUUUUGGUUCAACAUCAUGCCACAUUAAUGGAUAAAUUGUUCACUCCUCCUAAGUGGAGGAGUUUAAAAGACGUAUUUACGCAUCCAGAACUAAUGUUUUACCCUUUCAACAAAACAAAAACCUGUGUAAAUGGUUAAGAAUGCACCAAAAAAUACUUGGAAACCUUUAAAUUAGGAGUUAAUAGGCAAAAAGAUCACUGAACUCAUGGUCAACUUGCAGUUGGAUCAUUGAACUCAAAAAGUUUGCAAACGGAUCACAGAACUAAAUUUAAGUUGCAGUCAACUCACUGAACUAAUAAGAACUUGUAUUUAAGUCACUGUGCCGU